rnacentral:rRNA from 1 species
UGCGUAGGCGGUUUACUAAGUCAGAUGUGAAAGCCCCGGGCUUAACCUGGGAACUGCAUUUGAUACUGGUAGGCUAGAGUAUGAUAGAGGGGGGUAGAAUUCCUGGUGUAGCGGUGAAAUGCGUAGAUAUCAGGAGGAUUACCAGUGGCGAAGGCGGCCCCCUGGAUCAAUACUGACGCUGAGGUACGAAAGCGUGGGUAGCGAACA